rnacentral:rRNA from 1 species
CAUAGGUUAAUGAGGCGAACCGGGGGAACUGAAACAUCUAAGUACCCCGAGGAAAAGAAAUCAACCGAGAUUCCCCCAGUAGCGGCGAGCGAACGGGGAGGAGCCCAGAGCCUGAAUCAGUGUGUGUGUUAGUGGAAGCGUCUGGAAAGGCGCGCGAUACAGGGUGACAGCCCCGUACACAAAAAUGCACAUACUGUGAGCUCGAUGAGUAGGGCGGGACACGUGGUAUCCUGUCUGAAUAUGGGGGGACCAUCCUCCAAGGCUAAAUACUCCUGACUGACCGAUAGUGAACCAGUACCGUGAGGGAAAGGCGAAAAGAACCCCGGCGAGGGGAGUGAAAAAGAACCUGAAACCGUGUACGUACAAGCAGUGGGAGCCUCUUUAUGGGGUGACUGCGUACCUUUUGUAUAAUGGGUCAGCGACUUAUAUUCUGUAGCAAGGUUAACCGAAUAGGGGAGCCGAAGGGAAACCGAGUCUUAACUGGGCGUUAAGUUGCAGGGUAUAGACCCGAAACCCGGUGAUCUAGCCAUGGGCAGGUUGAAGGUUGGGUAACACUAACUGGAGGACCGAACCGACUAAUGUUGAAAAAUUAGCGGAUGACUUGUGGCUGGGGGUGAAAGGCCAAUCAAACCGGGAGAUAGCUGGUUCUCCCCGAAAGCUAUUUAGGUAGCGCCUCGUGAAUUCAUCUCCGGGGGUAGAGCACUGUUUCGGCAAGGGGGUCAUCCCGACUUACCAACCCGAUGCAAACUGCGAAUACCGGAGAAUGUUAUCACGGGAGACACACGGCGGGUGCUAACGUCCGUCGUGAAGAGGGAAACAACCCAGACCGCCAGCUAAGGUCCCAAAGUCAUGGUUAAGUGGGAAACGAUGUGGGAAGGCCCAGACAGCCAGGAUGUUGGCUUAGAAGCAGCCAUCAUUUAAAGAAAGCGUAAUAGCUCACUGGUCGAGUCGGCCUGCGCGGAAGAUGUAACGGGGCUAAACCAUGCACCGAAGCUGCGGCAGCGACGCUUAUGCGUUGUUGGGUAGGGGAGCGUUCUGUAAGCCUGCGAAGGUGUGCUGUGAGGCAUGCUGGAGGUAUCAGAAGUGCGAAUGCUGACAUAAGUAACGAUAAAGCGGGUGAAAAGCCCGCUCGCCGGAAGACCAAGGGUUCCUGUCCAACGUUAAUCGGGGCAGGGUGAGUCGACCCCUAAGGCGAGGCCGAAAGGCGUAGUCGAUGGGAAACAGGUUAAUAUUCCUGUACUUGGUGUUACUGCGAAGGGGGGACGGAGAAGGCUAUGUUGGCCGGGCGACGGUUGUCCCGGUUUAAGCGUGUAGGCUGGUUUUCCAGGCAAAUCCGGAAAAUCAAGGCUGAGGCGUGAUGACGAGGCACUACGGUGCUGAAGCAACAAAUGCCCUGCUUCCAGGAAAAGCCUCUAAGCAUCAGGUAACAUCAAAUCGUACCCCAAACCGACACAGGUGGUCAGGUAGAGAAUACCAAGGCGCUUGAGAGAACUCGGGUGAAGGAACUAGGCAAAAUGGUGCCGUAACUUCGGGAGAAGGCACGCUGAUAUGUAGGUGAAGCGACUUGCUCGUGGAGCUGAAAUCAGUCGAAGAUACCAGCUGGCUGCAACUGUUUAUUAAAAACACAGCACUGUGCAAACACGAAAGUGGACGUAUACGGUGUGACGCCUGCCCGGUGCCGGAAGGUUAAUUGAUGGGGUUAGCGGUAACGCGAAGCUCUUGAUCGAAGCCCCGGUAAACGGCGGCCGUAACUAUAACGGUCCUAAGGUAGCGAAAUUCCUUGUCGGGUAAGUUCCGACCUGCACGAAUGGCGUAAUGAUGGCCAGGCUGUCUCCACCCGAGACUCAGUGAAAUUGAACUCGCUGUGAAGAUGCAGUGUACCCGCGGCAAGACGGAAAGACCCCGUGAACCUUUACUAUAGCUUGACACUGAACAUUGAGCCUUGAUGUGUAGGAUAGGUGGGAGGCUUUGAAGUGUGGACGCCAGUCUGCAUGGAGCCGGCCUUGAAAUACCACCCUUUAAUGUUUGAUGUUCUAACGUUGGCCCCUGAUCGGGGUUGCGGACAGUGUCUGGUGGGUAGUUUGACUGGGGCGGUCUCCUCCUAAAGAGUAACGGAGGAGCACGAAGGUUGGCUAAUCCUGGUCGGACAUCAGGAGGUUAGUGCAAUGGCAUAAGCCAGCUUGACUGCGAGCGUGACGGCGCGAGCAGGUGCGAAAGCAGGUCAUAGUGAUCCGGUGGUUCUGAAUGGAAGGGCCAUCGCUCAACGGAUAAAAGGUACUCCGGGGAUAACAGGCUGAUACCGCCCAAGAGUUCAUAUCGACGGCGGUGUUUGGCACCUCGAUGUCGGCUCAUCACAUCCUGGGGCUGAAGUAGGUCCCAAGGGUAUGGCUGUUCGCCAUUUAAAGUGGUACGCGAGCUGGGUUUAGAACGUCGUGAGACAGUUCGGUCCCUAUCUGCCGUGGGCGCUGGAGAACUGAGGGGGGCUGCUCCUAGUACGAGAGGACCGGAGUGGACGCAUCACUGGUGUUCGGGUUGUCAUGCCAAUGGCACUGCCCGGUAGCUAAAUGCGGAAGAGAUAAGUGCUGAAAGCAUCUAAGCACGAAACUUGCCCCGAGAUGAGUUCUCCCUGAGACUUUAAGUCUCCUGAAGGAACGUUGAAGACGACGACGUUGAUAGGCCGGGUGUGUAAGCGCAGCGAUGCGUUGAGCUAACCGGUACUAAUGAACCGUGAGG